rnacentral:lncRNA from 1 species
UUUUUUUUUCUUAUCGUAUGUGCAGUGAUGUACUACUAUGACUCAUACCGACGUGAUAUAAAGGUGAUUGGAUUCUUUUUUGAUAGACAUAAAGGUACCUUUUAUGAUGGAAAAGGCUGGCACGUUGCACCGGUAAAAGGACAAAAAUUACAGCAGCCCAUGCAAGUAGGGUCAUGUUUAGUUACUCAAAACUCCCAACUUUUACACGGUGCAAAAAGAAGAUUCCCUAUCACAUCAAACUUACGGUACAUGCAUAGAGUACUAAAUGUAGACGAAAUCAAAAACUAAUUGCACAGUUUUGUUGUACUUUGCGAGACGAAUCUUUUGAGCCUAAUUAGUCAAUAUUGGAAUAAUAAUUCACAAAUACAAACGAAAUGCUACAGUGUGCUAUAGUGCUAUAACAGUAAUUUUGCACCUCCAAACUUUGGGCAACUAAACAAGGUCUAGAUAACUUUUUCACAUGCAAAUGGACUGUAUCUGGUCACUCAUGUUCUCGUGUGUAAUAUUAAAUGCUCCAAUGCCGUGGCCAGGCUAGGGCGAUCGCGCCGAUCCUCUGGUCGUGCCGCUCCACGCCGCCGCUGGUCAUGCCCGCCCCGCCGCGGCCCCGCUGCCCCCACCGUGCCGGCCUCCGCAUCGUGCCGCUCGCCGCCGAUUGGCUCCGCGCUCGGUGCUGCUCUCCAUGCGCAUCUAGAUCUGUGAGGAGAGGGAUGGAGGAGAGAGCUGGUAGUUUUAAAUGCAUUUAAACGAGAGGAGAUUGUGUGCCUAAUAUUUAUUUUGUAGGUUCUAUGUACAUAUUCUCAUCCGACCUACUUAGUUCAUUAAAUGCUGGUAUAGAAACCGAUUUGAAAUAGGAUACGUAUUAUAUAAGAAAAAGUUCAUUUUAACCAUCCAACUAUUGAUUCGGUUUGAUUUUCACCAUUAAACUCUCAAAAAUUAGAAAUCUUUUAACCACUCAUCAACUAUUAAAAUCGUUCACGUUUGACCAUCUAGCGCUAGAUUUUAGCUGAUGGUUUCGCUGAAGUGGAUGACACGUGGAAGUGGGACCCAGCCACAGUAUUAUCUUCUUCCCCUCACUCCCCCCUUUCUCCUUCCUUCCUGCCGCCGAUGGCGCGCACCGUGCCGGCCUUGAGCCCCAACGGGUACGGCCCGACCUCGCGCCACUGGCAGCGGGUACACAGACGUAGAUCUUGCCGCUCACCUCCGCGUACGCGAAGAAGGAUCGCGCCGACCGCAUCGGUGCGCCGCGGUGCCACUCGCCGAUGGUGGCGUCGAGGACGUGCACGUCGGCGAGGGGCUCGAAGGCGUGUGGAUCCUAGCCGCAUUCCCACCCACGUCGGCCGCCGCACUCCCACCCCCACAUUAGCGGCCGCCUCGCCCGUCCCUCCAUUGGCCUCACUCGCGAGGACCUUGCCGGACGACGAAUUGAAGGCUCAAAUCGGAGAGAGCGACCUACCAACGGUAUAUAUUGAAUCCAUCCUAGGGCCUUGUUUAGUUGCCUGAUUUUGGAUGUCCAAAAUCAUUGUGCUAGCACUGUAGCAUACUGUAGUGUUUCGUUUGUAUUUGUGAAUUAUUGUCCAAAUAUUGACUAAUUAGGCUCAAAAGAUUCGUCUCGCAAAGUACAACAAAACUGUGCAAUUAGUUUUUUAUUUCGUCUAGAUUUAGUACUACAUGCAUGUACCGCAAGUUUGAUGUGAUGGGGAAUUUUUUUUAAUAGUGUCAAAGUAAACAGGCCCCUAAAUGAAGGAAUCUUGAUUCUGUUUUUGAAAUAAAAUAAUCUUGGUUCCUCUCUCUCGUGCAUUUGGUUGGAAAGCUGGACACAGCUGGUGCGCUGACCCAGUCAUAUCAUGUACUAGCAAGGACAGGGCGUCGGUACGGCCUGUACGGGUAGAACGCCGACGCCGGCGGCGGUGAGAAAUAGACGUGUGAUCUCAAACUUCAAGACCUGCCAUCCGGCGUCGGUGGGUAUUCAAUAGUACGGCAAAUUCAAAAGUGACUGUAAGAUGUCGCCCCCGAGCAAAUUUCCAAAAUUAAAACUCCUAACCAUCCACCUCUGCUCUGCCUUUCUUCUUCUACACAGAAAUCCAUCGUUAAAAUCUCAAUAAUAAUUAUAAUCAUUGCAGCUAAUUUCACAGAUGUGUUUUCCUAAACGACACUACAGGGACUUCAACUCUUUUUCAACUUUCCCAACCCAAAAAAAAAAGGAACACGACGUUAAAGUCUGAUGCAAUAUACAAGUUUUCUUUUACAGAGAUUGCUAGCUGAUCAAUCUGCAAUCCGCGUAUAUAUGCUAUUUGCGACGUAUCGACAUGCUCCAGGCCAUUUCAGCAAUCCACGUACAUAUGUCACUGUCUAAUUUUUUUUUAACGAACAAGAUAUGAACAAGAUAGUGUGAGUUUCAAUCGAUAUAGAUUUUUUUAACGAACAAGAUACGAACAAGAUAGUGCGAGUUUCAAUCCAUAUAGCAGAAAAAAAAAUAUAAGACUACAGUACUAAGAGACCAUAGGCAGGAAAUAAAAAAGAAAAUGAAAAAAAAUAGCUCGACUCGCCCGGUUGGAUUGGAACGUCAACUCGGGUACGCACUCAACUUAAAAUCACUAAAUCCGACCGGUUAGAUUAUGGCAUCAACGCGGUCGCAACACUCCACUCAAACAGCGGCAGCAGAGCACACCACACCACACGACUUGCAAAAACGCAAAGGCGAAGCCAGCAUCGCGGAACCCCCUUCAGUCUCACGCUCAUGUAGUCGCCGAACCCUCUAGGCAUGACUCCGCGUCGAUAGGAACCAAGAAAGUAGACCGCACUGCACUAAGAAGACCACCGCUAUGCAGGACCCUUCACCGUAGUGCCACUGCAACACCACACUCCAUCGAUCCGGACCUCUCGUAGGCUGCCUCGCAGUCGUCACCACGAAAACACAAACACGCGGGGGCCUCGCCACAUCCGCCGUUGGACUCCACCUCGCUUUCGUCGCCUCAAAGAAACACUAUGCGCAGGGGUCUUGCCACGUCCACCCAGUAUUCCAUAUCACGGAUCCGUUUCUUAAGUCGCCAUCAGAAUGAUGAGCAAUAUUGCCCCACUUCCUAGGGUCACCAUCAAACAGCCAAACCGCCGCCGCAGGUCGACUUCACCUCGUUGCACAACCCACGCACAUAGCCUCCGCCACCGUGCCAGCAAGUUAAGUCGCUUGCGUCGUCUUCCAACGAUGUACCGCACCGGAGUAGCUCAGCAAAGCUGAGCAACCCGCCGCAGAGACUGCCGCAAGCAUAGUCGACCCAUGAUGUCGUUGCUACAAGCUGUGUCCUCCGACGCAGUCCCACGCCGCAUUGACAGCUGCCAAGAAACACCAGCCACCACGGUCUGCUGCAAGCAGCCAACCCGACAAACAUGCGGCAACCCCUGACCGCCACCACAACUACAAUUGCCUCCAUGUGAGCUCGGCAACCCCUGUUCAGCUUGACAUGCUCCACCAUGUUGCCUUACCGUUCUGCAAGCCCGUCGCGGCGAGACCGCUGCCACUGGCGUCAGCCUCCCAUGACCAUCGAUAUCACCAGUAUUGCCACAAGCCGAGUUGGGUCUCUAGAAACGACACCUCCAAGGAGGACAUGACGCUAAUGGCGCCGCCGUCACUCGUCCAGAAACUGGACAGGGUUUUCACCCAGAGAACCCCGUGCAACGGGAUGGAGCUCUAACAUGACACCCCCAACGGGCAGAAUGACGCUCUAGGGUGCCCCGCCAUCGCCACCAGCAAGAUUGCCGACAAAGGUUUUCACCCGGAGCAUCCCAUCCCUAGCCAUUGCACGCACACAGUCCGGCACAUAGCCACUGGGGCAUCGAAUCGACCUCCCCAGGCUGCUGCCGCUACCGCGGCGGUGGCCGCCGCCGUGCCCAACACCGCCUUCGAGCUAUUGUAGGUGUUGGCUAGAGGAGAUGCCCCGCCGCCGCCAUCCCUGUGCCCGCAUGGGCUUCCGACGGGGCACUCCGGCAGCGGUGAGGUAAAGAGAGAGGACGGGGAGGAGGGCUGGCGGUGUGGGUGGUUGCUCCGCCCGUGUCGCACGAGCGGGGCGACGUGGGGGACUUCUACUGUCCAAUUGCAAUAAUGGGGAAAAGUUAGCUAGGAAUGGGCUAAAGUGCUCUCUGCUCUGCUGGAUCACAUCCCUCUCAAAAGGGGAUUAUAAAGGCGUCAUCAUGAUCUUGCAGCUCAACAUCGUGUAGCAUGGAGGCCGGGCUGCAACUCUUGCCGCCUUUUUUCUCUUAUUUUCCUUUCCCGUGCUAACAUUUGGCAAAGGGUUAGUGGCUCUUCAAGUAAGAUUCAGCAACUACCAACUGAAAGCGACUCCUCUUUUUUCAUUCUGAUGGGGACUUGGAUAAGAAUAUGGAUCACGAGAUCUCCAUUUAAAUACCACUUAUUAGCCUUGAUGUCUUGGCAUGACGUUAUGUGUCGGCAAAAUGCUCCUGACGCGUUCUAUGCUCACAAAACCGAAAAAAGAAAAGGAAAGCAAGAGGCAAUCGCGUUCAGAAAUAGGUCAGUUGGAUAAUAGACUAAAAUAAAGAUAAGCGGAAUUCUUAUUCCGCUAAUAUUUGGACUGAGAACGUAACACGCCAGUUAAAGUAAAUAUUAAAUACCACUCUCAAAAAUAAGUCACUGUAAUGGAGACCUCCAGAAUUUUUUUCUUUAUUUUCAAAAUUUUCAUUUAAACAAUUGGAUUCACUUCAGCGGAAGAUAAACAAAACAAGGCAAAAAAGUCAGAAUAGACGGGCCAUCUGCUGCCAACACACUCUUGCCUGUUCCCCCCUUUUUUUUAAAAAAAAACUUUCAGAGUGCUUUCUUCAAGGAGGACCAGUGCGAAAGCUCCAUAAUCCAUGCUUUGCGUGUCUCUUAGCUAAUGUGUACAAAACUCUAAUUUGUAGUAUUACACAGUACAGUACAUGUUAGCCUGUUUUGUAGUGUGUUUUAAUUCAACAAGUCUGCCAGUGAUCCUUUCUUUUAAUCAAGGCACUAGGAUAGGACAGCCCAAGUUUUGCUUUGUUUAUUUAUAGGUGCAGCCGUGCAGGGGCUUGACCUCCUGCCACCUACCUUCCCUGUAUGGCCACCACCCCAUUUAGAUUCUGUUCCUCCUAAAUCUCCUCUCCUCUCCAUUGGCCCUGUACUUCACCAAAAUAGCUUUCUGCCUCACAGCAAGCCUGUCCCAUAAUCAAGGAGCCUCUGUAAGGUCGUUGGAACUUGGCACAAGGAUUUGCAAGGUGUGUUUCUUCAUUCUUGGUUUCAUGUUUAUAUCAUUUUGCUUUUCCCAGAUCAUGGUCAUUCAGAUUUUGGGAGCAACAAACAAGUUUGAUUGAGACGCAAGCUGUUCUUGUUGAGUUGCAUGAUUUUCCCUUCUUUGAUUGUUCUUUAUUCCUAGCAUCUCCUGUCCAUGCAUCCUGAGUCCUGACCUAUCUGUUCCUGAAAAUGGAAAAUCGUUUGAAAACUGCAGCAUGAACCAAAAAGGGCUUCAAAUGUGUUGUAGAAAAGUUCUUACCCAUUCAAAGAACAUCAACUUGAUGUUCCAAUAAUUAGCUUUUGUUGGCACAGGUUGAUUGGUACGGACCACAGAUUGUGAGAUCCAACAACCAAAUCUAAUCGCAGAAAAAGAAAGCCGGCGAAAGGCUUGUGUGGCACCACAUCUUGCCAUCAGGGAAAAUGGGGCUCUCAAUCUCAUACCCACCGGAUGACUACCUGCCAGCAGUGGAGGACAACAUGGGCCGGCUGUUCAUCCGGUCCCUCAGCUUCGACGACAUGGAGGACGCAGCCGAUUCACCUUCCUCAUUGCCCCCUGGCUUCGGCCACGGGAAGCUGAUCAUAGAAGGGUCCCUGAGCUUCAAGAGGAGAGAGGCAGACAACGUUCAGAUGCAGACUCUCAUGUCCGUCAGGAGUCCCAAACCUGACAGAGACAGUUGCAAUGUAAGUCCUAGUGCUGGCACUUCUAGUUCAUCAAGAUUCGGGCCAGCCCGAGACCGUCCACCAGAUCAUCCUGUAGACGGAAGUGAAAGCCCGAGGCACCAGGCCGCGGCACUCAGGCUGCAGAAGGUGUACAAGAGCUUCAGGACAAGGCGGCAGCUUGCGGAUUGUGCCGUUCUUGUGGAACAACGAUGGUAAGACUGCCAUGUUCUAUGUUGUUGUUUUGAUUGUCAUAGUUGGGGGACCUUGUUCUUGACAUUGAGGUGGCAAUUUCUGAAUUUUAUGAUCCUCAAAUGCAGGUGGAAAUUGCUCGACUUUGCGCUGCUCAAGCGGAAUUCGGUGUCAUUCUUCGAUAUAGAGAAGCCUGAGACUGCUGUGUCAAAAUGGUCCCGGGCAAGAAUGAGGGCUGCCAAGGUAACAAUUGUAUUCUUUUGUUCAGAUAUCAUCAUAACUGGUUUUUUUUCUCCUGGCAACCAUAGCUUCAGUACGGUGAAUCUUGUACGGUGCAAUACAGCGUUGCCAACUUUGGGUCAGCAGUUUUCUCGGAAUAUACUACAUUUCUGACACGGGUGUAGUGUUUGCUAUCACAUUUAGGUUGGCAAAGGUCUCUCCAAGGAUGAAAAGGCCCAGAAACUUGCCCUGCAGCAUUGGCUUGAGGCGGUAUGAACAGAGAAUAUAAUAUCUCGAUGCUAUUCGUAUGAUGCUAUUGUGCAACCAAAACUGGAUUUCAACUCAUUUCUGAUUGUCAGAUUGACCCUCGACAUCGGUAUGGCCACAACCUGCACUUUUACUACCACCGUUGGCUCCACUGCGAGAGCAAGCAACCAUUCUUCUACUGGUACAGACAUAGCAAAACUGUAGUGGUCAUGCGUCCGAACCAAAUGAACAACAUAGUUACUGAGUACUGAUGGUUCUGUAAACUCUUUGGACAGGUUGGAUGUAGGUGAAGGGAAAGAUGUCAACUUAGAGGACCAUUGCCCAAGAUGGAAGAUGCACAAGCAAUGUAUCAAGUACCUUGGCCCUGUAAGUUUAACUGUUCUUCCUCUGAUUCAAACUGAAAACCCAUUCAGGCAGAAUCUGCUCGGUUGCAGAUGUUACAUCCUUUUAACAAGAUAUGCUGUCAUGGCACUAUGCAGAAAGAAAGGGAAUCUUACGAAGUGAUAGUCGAGAAUAAGAGGCUGAUGUACAAGUUGAGCCGUCAGAUUGUUGAUACAACCGGAAGCGCCAGGGGAACAAAGUGGAUCUUCGUGCUGAGUACAUGCAAGACCCUUUACAUCGGUCAGGUGAAUGACAAUUUCCCAAGUAGUUCCAGUAUAACUUUCUUGAACAUUGACAGCAUUUCAGCAACUGACUCAAGGCUGAAAUUUUGACAUCUUUGCAGAAGCAGAAGGGCGUAUUCCAGCACUCAAGCUUCCUUGCAGGAGGAGCGACAUCUGCUGCAGGGAGGCUGGUUGUAGAGGAUGGACAUCUGAAGGUACCAGGGCAAUCAGUAGGAUGCACAAUAGCAACACUAAAUUUGUUCUCGCUCGACUCUAAAUUUUGUCCAUUUCAGGCUGUGUGGCCUCACAGCGGGCAUUAUCGACCGACAGAGCAGAACUUCCAGGAGUUCAUGAACUUCCUAAAGGACAGGAGUGUGGAUCUCAGCGACGUGAAGGUCAGAAGCAUAAUGCAAUAUAUAUCAUGCUGAAUGAUCACCACGAAUGAAGUUGUACUUAAAACCGAUACCUGUAUUUCUUUUCGGUUUUCCUACAGUUGAGCCCGUCAGAAGGUGAAGAAGAUGGCGACUUCAGCCUCAGGGGCAACCACUCGCAGCUGGACUUGACCAAGCUCUGCCAGCAAGAAGAGAACCAAGAACAAGAGGCACAAUCCGUGCAGCGCCAUGGCGAAGCCGAAGACGAAGCCGAGACCUGCAACGCCGAGCCCACCCAGCCACCUACCGAGACGAGCACCCCGGCGGCGACGAUCAGGAAGGCCUCCUCGGACAACAGGCUACAAGGGAAGCGGCCGCCGAGGCUGCUGAUCAGCUCCAACAACAGGAUCCCGCUGCCACCGGCUCCGCACUGCAGCAGCAGCUCCCGGCCGUCGCCGUCGCCGGGCGGCAAGGAGAUCGACCCGGACUCGGCCAUGCUAGGCGAGUGCCUCGACUUCUGCAAGCGCAACCUGUUCGCGGAGGACUGGCUCGAUGACCACGGCCUGGACGACCUGGCGGAGGUGCCGGAGGAGCUGAUCCUGAGCCGCAUCAACUCCAAGCGCGCCAUGCGGUCGUACCAGCUCGGCAAGCAGCUGUCCUUCCAGUGGAGCACCGGCGCCGGGCCGCGCAUCGGGUGCGUCCGGGACUACCCGUCGGAGCUCCAGUUCAGGGCGCUGGAGGAGGUCAGCCUGUCGCCCCGCGGGGGAAGGCCGGCGAGGUUCCCGUCGCCGAGGCUGGGCGCGCUGACGCCCAACAGCAUUCCGGCCGGCAAGUGCGGAAGCCUCACCGCCGACGGCGACGGCGUGAGCAUGUCGCUCAAGCCCAGGCAGAGGAGUGCUACCUGGACUGCAUUCUGAGAGGCCGAUGCUGUGGAUUGCUCUGCUUUCUUGUUUUGUUCCUCGGGAGGAUGAUGCCAACUGUGCAUAUUGAGAGGGAAAAGUGAGAUGGUAUGAUGAUUCUUAUUGUUGAAGUAGAUUAGUACAAGGAUUAGGAUUAACAUUUGGCAGCAUUGGAUGGUGCCAUUGCUUCACUAAUAGAUGGUCCAAUGAACAUGUUCUUGAGACCUUACUAGUGCAUACGUAGAUAGGAGCAGCAGAGUUUAGCUCGGUGAGAAAAUCGUACGACGUUUCACACUGCACAAAUGAGCAGAUAAUAUAAUACUCCUGGUUAAAUGGAGUACCAUUUAAUGACUGAAGCCAAAUUUAGCAACUGAGCAAACGCUACCAUGAAAACAGGUGUCACUACACCAGUUAUAGGUUGAUUCAAAGUCAAUGUUCAUGGUAGUUUUCCAAGUGCAAGAGCUCCGUGUUGAAAACAUCUAGGAUGCCUAAACAUUGCAUACCAAUCACACAUCCUAAGCAGAUUAUGUAUAGCAACUUAAAAGAAUUAAGCAGAUGAUCACAGUGUAGGAAGGCAAAAGUUAUCACUUAUCAAAUUAGGAUGAAAUACGUGUGAUUCAACAUAUGCAACAAAGCACGACACAACCUAAUGUGAUUGCACACCGGAGUGACUAAAAUAAACAGGCAUGCAAAUUACAAUCCCAAACAAAUAAUUUGGAUUUGCAGUGACAGUGCAGCAUUCACCCAAGAAUUCAUAUUAUAAGUAGCAACCAUACAAGCCAUUCAUGAUUGAUACCCAAGAUUGCAACUUAAGUACAUAACCAUGUCACACAAUAUCAAGAGCCUUAAAUUCACGCAGUAACAGACCAAAACUUGCAACAGGACAAGUGCUCAAGUUACAUUUCCAUUGCUCUUAACUCAAUUCUCCAUAGCCUACUCAAAGGACAAAGUAGCAUUGUUCAAUAACUUGAUAUGAAAGCAGUACUAGUAAAGUGGGCAACAAUCCAUGAUUUAACUUGUUGAAGACAGGAACAGCGGACAACAGGCACAACGACAAGCUGCCUCAGCGCAGCCUCCUGGCCUCCCUCUCCGACUCGAGCAGGGUGAGAAUGUCACCCUCACGGACUGGGCCCUUGACGUUCCUCAUGAUGAGACGGUUCUGGUCAUCCAGGAACUUCACUCUGACCUGGGUCACCUGACCCCUGGAGCCGGUGCGGCCCAUCACCUUGACCACGACGGCGAGCUUAACCUGGGUAUCCAUGCUGCACCAACAGAAUCGACUCCAAUUAGCCCCGGAAGAGAUGGUAAGAAAUAUUCAUUGUGUAGUAAUUCAAGUUUACUUGUUCAGGAAUAAAGUUCAUGAUAAAAACUAGUAACAAGUUUGAAUUAAUCUGACAAGGUCCCAAUUCUUUAGGUCCAUGAAUCAAAGUUGUAGCAAAAACUGAAAUAUAAGAGUGUAAUCUGUUAAAGCUUUUAUGUGCAGAGCAAUGCACAUCUAGAUCCUCCACACAUUUUGUUUGUACAAAAUCAAAUGCUAGCUUAGCUACAAGGGUAAACAAAAUACCGAGACCGCAUAGUAUAACAUUUCAUCACCCAGCAAGAUUGAAACAAAUGCCUAAAUUGAGUAAAGGUAAUUCCUUCACAUAAGUUUCCAAAACCUUAUAAGCACCUCUCUACAAUGACAAAUAGCAAGGGACGCAGACACGCAGCAAAUGGUACUACAAAUUCACAGCUCCAAACAGCUAACUUAGUAAAGAACAUAAAACUAUGUCAACUCAAAAGCAAUUCGUCAAUUCAUCUCAUGCAUUACCCUACUAUGAUCAAGUCGAAACAGGACAACCACAAGAAAUAAAGUAAUAACAUCUCUCUAGCACACAUCUACUAGCACGAGAAAGGUAAAUAAAUCUGGACGGGGCUCCUCUAACUUUGACCCCCUACUCAUAAAUCUCCCUGGCCAUCUGCCCACUACCUUCCUGCAGCAACUAUCUUAAGAUACAAUAAUGCCGGAGGGGCGGAUCCAGUAUAGAUGCCAGGGAAUUCCCGAGAAUACCCAAACUAUUUUGCCCAAAAAAAUCGAGUAUGAAACAAGUAUAUACUUAUGUAUAUUCUAGUUGGGCCAAAUCUUCAUUUCUUAGUCAUCCUCGCGGCCCAACACUCCCCACAGAGGCUCCUCAGGUAACAAGCCAGGUCCCGGACAUAACCGACGCAUGAAGACGAGGAUCGAUCCCAGCACUCACUACCUCCACGUCGACGUCGCCCCUCCCUGCCCUCCCCAAUCCCCUUUCUUUUCUACCCAACCAAAUCCCUAGCCACAAGUGCCGCACAGGUGGCCAGCGGCACGGGGCGGCGGCGGGCCGAUGGCGCGACUGGCAGCCAGCAGCACCGACCGUCACGGGCACGGCAGGUCAGAAGCCGCGCCGGCAAGCGAAAGAGGCAGUGAGGGGUCGAGGGUGGUAGCAGGCCCCAGGCGAGCACCGAACACAACGCACAGGGAUGACACUGACGGAACGGCCAGGAGCCAGGUCAGAAUCCCAAAUCCUGGAUCCGCCACGAGCGAACACACCAACUACAGCAAGGGUAGCAUCUGAGACGAAACGACCAACGGAACGAGGAUUGAUCAAAGGGCAAGCACCUUUCUCCGGUUGCUGGUCACGGUGACUGCUGCAACGGCGGCGGCGGCGGCGGCGCGAGCAAGUCGUGUGGAGAGAGGAGGCAGAAGCAAAACCCUAGGCUCGUCGGGUGGUCAUAUAU